UACGAGGGGGGCAAGCGUCGUUCGGAAUUAUUGGGCGUAAAGGGUGCGUAGGCGGUCUGACAAGUCUGAUGUGAAAUCUAUGGGCUCAACCCAUAGUCUGCAUCGGAAACUGUCGGGCUUGAGUAUGGGAGAGGUGAGUGGAAUUUCCGGUGUAGCGGUGAAAUGCGUAGAUAUCGGAAGGAACACCUGCGGCGAAAGCGGCUCACUGGACCAUUACUGACGCUGAGGCACGAAAGCUAGGGGAGCAAACAGG
rnacentral:rRNA from 1 species